GCACAAGAUGGCGGCGGUAGCGGCAGUGGCGGCGCGUAGGAGGCGGCUUUCUGUCUCUGGUCGUGAUGACAACAGUGUGGAGUUAACCAUGGCUGAGGGACCCUACAAGAUCAUCUUGACAGCACAGCCAUUCCGCCUUGACCUACUAGAGGACCGAAGUCUUCUGCUUAGUGUCAAUGCCCGAGGACUCUUGGAGUUUGAGCACCAGAGGGCCCCUAGGGUCUCGUGAGUACAGGGGUUGGGACUGCAGGGAACCU
rnacentral:sRNA from 1 species